AUGCAAGUCGAACGAGAAAGUGGAGCAAUCCAUGAGUAAAGUGGCGCACGGGUGAGUAACACGUGACUAACCUACCCUUGAGUGGGGAAUAACUUCGGGAAACCGAGGCUAAUACCGCAUAACACCUACUGGUCAAAGGAGCAAUUCGCUUAAGGAGGGGGUCGCGGCAGAUUAGUUAGUUGGCGGGGUAAUGGCCCACCAAGACGGUGAUCUGUAUCCGGCCUGAGAGGGCGCACGGACACACUGGAACUGAAACACGGUCCAGACUCCUACGGGAGGCAGCAGUGGGGAAUUUUGCGCAAUGGGGGAAACCCUGACGCAGCAACGCCGCGUGGAGGAUGAAGUCCCUUGGGACGUAAACUCCUUUCGAUCGGGACGAUUAUGACGGUACCGGAAGAAGAAGCCCCGGCUAACUUCGUGCCAGCAGCCGCGGUAAUACGAGGGGGGCGAGCGUUGUUCGGAAUUAUUGGGCGUAAAGGGCGCGUAGGCGGUUGGAUAAGUCUUGUGUGAAAUCUUCGGGCUCAACUCGAAGUCUGCACGAGAAACUAUCUGGCUUGAGUGUGGGAGAGGUGAGUGGAAUUCCUGGUGUAGCGGUGAAAUGCGUAGAUAUCAGGAGGAACACCUGUGGCGAAAGCGGCUCACUGGACCACAACUGACGCUGAGGCGCGAAAGCUAGGGGAGCAAACAGGAUUAGAUACCCUGGUAGUCCUAGCCCUAAACGAUGAUCGCUUGGUGUGACGGGUACCCAAUCCCGCCGUGCCGAAGCUAACGCGUUAAGCGAUCCGCCUGGGGAGUACGGUCGCAAGGCUGAAACUCAAAGGAAUUGACGGGGGGCCCGCACAACCGGUGGAGCAUGUGGUUUAAUUCGACGCACCGCGAAGAACCUUACCUGGGCUCGAAUGUA
rnacentral:rRNA from 1 species